AAAAAAAACCCUCACUUUUUUUCUCAAUAUUUUCCUUCUUCCCCGAUUUUCUUCUUCUAGAUUUUCUCCAAACUCACGUAGCUCCAGUCAUUCAUUCGUGCACUACCACCGAAGCUUCAAUCAGCCGUUUGGACGCCACAUUCGAGCUUAAGUCCAUUCUGUUCGCUCCAAAGGUGCGUCAAUCGUGCGCUCCAAUCGUCUGCUUCACGUUAUCGUUUAGAGAUCGGAGACACAUCAAUCUUUUUUUCUCUUUUUUUCUCUUUUUAUCUCUUUUUAUCUCACUUUUUGCUGCAUCCGUAGGAAUCUACUUGGGUGUGGAUAACGGUGGCAUAAGUACCCAAGACGAAUGUGUAGCAACUAUUGACGAUGUUUCAGUAGUUAGCAGCAACAUUUCUCUUCUUUUUGUCGAACCCCGACAUUGACCCUCACUUAGUUUGGCUUCAAAUCGAAUUACCAUAGUUCAUAAAGUUCUGAUCUGCAAGUUCGGACACUUUCAAACACGACCAACUAAGAUCGGAGCCCUUCAAUGGUAGGAUUCAAUGGGUAACUUAGCUCUAAUUUGCUUUCGAAAUGGAUUUAGGUGUUUGAAUUAGACUAUAAGUCAUUGGAGUUCUUCUAUUGUUAUGUUUGGGUCAAUUUCGAAUUUUGGAUUAAGUCCUUGGAUUUGAAUAUCCCUCUUUAACAGUCUUUCAAUUAUGAUUAAGGUUUUUAAAUUGUUUGAUUUUUGUUUUCCAUGAAAAUGAUCCAAAAGUAGAAGAUGAAGGCAAUUAGUAAACUUGAGGAAUGUUUCUAAAUUAUUUAUUAGGAAUAGUAGAGUGUGUAUUGUACAUUUUUUAUGGCCUUUUAGUUUCAGUUUUGGGUACUUAAGAAUCAUAAAUGUGUUUGUUAUAUUUUAGGAUCCAUUGAAAUGUUUGAAAAUAAGAUUGUCUGAGAUCACAAGUUUAGGUGUUGGUGUAGAUUAUAGUUAGGAAAUAAUUAGAAGUAACUUUGAUCAAGGAAGCGUAAAUAUUUGUGGAAUUUUUUGAACAAAGUACCCACGAUUUUUCUCUAUUUGCGUCAAAUUUCAAGCUGAUUGUGCUAAUGUUAAUGGCUACCGUUGGUUUGGCUUUGCUGAUCUUUGUCAAUUGUAGCCAUUUUGGAAACAUUUUUUAAUGUCUCCUUGCCAUAUUUGUGUAUUUAUUUUUAUUAAAAUUUACUUUCUUAUCUUAAUAAAUGUUGACUUUUACUUUGCAACUUCGGAACUGUAUUGGAUCUACUGUAACUGCUAUGGGACCUGAGAAGAUACUUACUCUUAUUCCCAUAUCCAUUAAUCCUGGCAACUCAACUGUGUAGAACAUGUGGUUGAUACCAGUUCUACAUAGUCAUGUUGUUGGAGCAUCACUUGGAUAUUAUCUAGAAUAUAUUGUGCCCCUUGCAAAAUCUUUUCAGGACGAGAGUUGUAAAGUUAAGAAGAUUACGUUGUGUAAAAAUCAACGGACAUGUGCUCGUAAUUUGUGGAAAUUACUACCUGCUUUUUGCUGCCAUCCUACUGGUAUGCACCGAAGAAUUGGAAUGCUUUCUGAACUUUUAAUUACACUUCUUAAAGAAGACUCCUUUAUGCAUGAAGAUAUUGCUGCUGCCUUACAGGUCACAUAAUAAUGUUGAUUUUGGUGCUAUUAUAUAUUGUACUAUUUUUUCCCUUUCCAUUUCAUUUUAAUAUUUUUAUAAAGUUAUGCCAAUCCAAGAACAACUCAUUGGAUAAGGCACAAACUACUGUCCUAAUAGUCAUUUUCUCUUUAAACCUUUGUGUUUCUCGCUUUGUUAUUGGGUUCUUACGUGUAUGUUGUUAACGACACCCUUGGCUAGGAAUGAUUGUAUUAACUUUAAUAUUUUGGGUUUCAUAAUAGAUUAAUACAAGGACCUCAUACAAUCAACUCGAGUUGGAUGAAGUGUGAAUGGAGCUUGCUUAUUUUUUGGGUGCCCACAUGUAAUUAUGGUGAUAGCUAAGUUCUUUUAAGUUAGAUAGACAAGUUUUGUUGAUAUUGGAUAUAGUUGAACUAGUUUUAUUGAUACUGGAUAUAGUUGAACUAGUUUUGUUGAUACUAGAUAAAGGUAAAAGACAAGUUUUGAUAUGGUACACCUUUAGGCUACACAUAUAUUUUGUUUAUAUAUUGACAUUAAUGAAAAGUUUAGGCUAUUGUUAGAUGCUUAGGCUACACAUAUAUAUUGUAAUUAACUAUGUAAUCACCAACUUAUAUAUGGUUCAUUUGAUAUAUAUAUAUGCAAUUUCUUUGA